rnacentral:rRNA from 1 species
GAUGAACGCUGGCGGCGUGCUUAACACAUGCAAGUCGAGCGAACAGAUGCGGAGCUUGCUGCUCUGUCUUUAUCGGUGGACGGGGGAGUAACAAGAGGAUAAUCUCCCUCCCCGUCUUGCAUAAUAUCCGGAUACAAGAGUUACUACUGGCUAAUAUCCUGCAUCGCUUGCUUGAUUGGUCUAAGAAGGUUUUUGUUUCUGUUGUAGAUGGACCCGCGCCGCAUUAGCUAGUUGGUAAGGUAACGGCUUACCAAGGCAGCGAUGCGUAGCCGACCUGAGAGGGGGGUCGGCCACACUGGAGCGGAGACACGGCCCAGACGCCUACGGGAGGCAGCAGUAGGGAAUCUUCCGCAAUGGGCGAAAGCCUGACGGAGCAGCGCCGCGUGGGGGAUGAAGGUCGUCUGAGCGUAAUACGCUGUUAUUAGGGAUGAACAAAUGUGGAAGUAACUAUGCACGUCUUGACGGUACCUAGUCAGAAAGCCACGGCUAACUACGUG